CUAUGAUUUGCUGAAUCAUCCUGAGCUUCAGUUUUCUUUUAUAUAAAAUGCAGACAAUAAUUUCUCUCCUGCAGGCUUCUAUUUUAAGUUGAGUGAAAUGAGGUUGAUGAAGUACCUGGCAAAAUGCCUGCCACAUAAUGGGAGUUCAAUAAACUAUUAAUUUUAUAUUUUUACUAAUAACAAUAAUAAUUAUUUUUAUAUACUCAUUAGUUAAUGAUAAUGUACGUUAUAUCUUGUUAAACCAAUCACUCUCAGACAACUGCAACUACUGAGAGACCAAGGACUCACUUCCAGAACAGAAACAUGAGGACAAGAAGAUUUUACUUAUGGUAACUUGGGCAAUUGAAGAAUAGUGAGAUUGCCCUGAAGGAGGAAAAGUGGGAUGAACAUUUCUGAAUGAAGUCUUCUGAAGAAAGGUGUGUCAUGAUCAGAGGGAACUGAUAUUGAGAGAAUAUCAAGAAGCUGAAUCCUCCCAGAGCCCAACUCCUAGGCUUCCUGGCUCAGAAAUCCACCAUCCACCCUGGAAGCAGACAACCAAGGAUACACAUCUGCCGAUUCCCUUAUCUCCUCCUCCUCCCUGCAAGCAGUGUCAUAAAGCUAAAUGCAGGCUGGUGGGAAAACACCAACCAGAAAGGCCACAUGCCCCUCUCCCCUACCUAAAACCCCAAAUAAAAACCCUUGCUUGUAGCUUUUUGGGAAGUUUGAGAUUACAGCUUUAGCUGUCCAUUCUCCUUUGCAAUAAAAUUCCUGCUUUCUUUC
rnacentral:lncRNA from 1 species